GGUUGUAUAGUGUAGAGGUUUAUCACUCUGGAUUUUGAUUCCAGCAACCCCGGUUCGAACCCGGGUACGACCA